GUGUGUGUGUGUGGAGAGUACAAUCGGUAAACAGCUCAAAUGUGUAAUGCUUUAUUAAACCUCUAAUGAAGGGCACCGACCGCUGGCAUCCGACACCUGUUUGGGCAUACCUGUGCCACCGCAGGAGGGGGUGCCAGGUGUUCCAAGAACAGUACCACCCAAGCCAGAGAAAAAAGGGACAAAGCAUGUCGUCCCAACUUCGUUCGCCCCCCCCGUCGCCCUUCCUCCUUCUUCAAAGCAACGGCCAUAUAAAAAAUGCACUAUUCUGAGCUUGUUUUGAUCGAGUCAAGACCCAGCUAAACGCUCCUUUUAAGGAAGAGCAGAGGGCCGAAAAGGCACGAUUUGUUUCUGUUUUGGGGCUGAAAACUGUGCAGGAAAGAUUUUCAGAUUCAGAGCCCCUGGAGAGAUUGAUGACCACUGUGUUUCCUCUGAUACAGUCAGGAACACAGAGAGGACUGACUGCAUGAAACGGCAAUAGACAGUCCAAACAAACAGAGUCUAUGCGGGUUAGGAAGCACACACACAACGGAAGCCAGAAAAGCUGAAAGGGAACAAACUCUCAAUAAGACACAAGUAAGCGACGUGGCUGAGGAUUGAUUCAUUCUCGGAAACUCUCCUGAGAGAGAAAAGAAGCACAGCAACCACAACAUUGUGCUUUUUCAGCUGUGGCUGCGCAUCACUUUCAUGACUGACAAUCAGCCUGUGUUUGCCAUUUCAGAAUGACUAAGUAUGACCUGAUAGAGACAGUGAAGACACACAGGUCAAACUCCUCAGGGUUCAGAUGGUUUAGGUCCUCCAGCAGAGGGAAAGAGAGACCCUGUUCAGAACGAGUGGUACUAGCCAGGUGAGAGAGGGGAGGCCGCUCUGCCCAUCCGUGCCCUCCUCUUCCAAAAUGGAAGGAUAAACAGACCACAUAGCAGCGAUGCCACUCCCCCAGGCAGCUACAUCCCUCUCUCCCCCUCUCUCUCCCUUCCCUCUCUCUUCUCUACUCUCCGCCCAUCUGCUUUUCCUCCCAUAAACAAGGUGACAUAGUGUAGAGUGCUGCCAGAGAACCUCCUCGCCUGCUGCUGCUGCUGAAUCCACAGCCUUUCUCCCAGCCUCCUCACCAGACGGUCUGUGACCUCCAGAUCAACAUCUAUCCAUCCAUCUAUCCGUCCACUCCACUGGAGCAGACCUCUGUAGCUGAACCAACAACCACCACAGCUUCAGUGAGGGCUAAGCAGGGAGAUGUAAUCUGCAUCCAUCCAAUCAUCCAUCCAUCACUAGCCUUCCUGAGGAACCUUCCAGAAGACCCCCCCCCCCCCGAACUGAAGAGCUUUGACCAGAAAUUGAUCACUCUGCCUGGGGUAUCUGCAGCCUGAACCCAGCCUCUCCAUGUCGAGUGUCAUCAUGGAUCUGGUCAACAACCGCGGCCUCAACCUGAUGCUCAACUUCCUGCUCAUCGUCAUCGUGUUGCUCCUCAUGCUUGUCCUGGUCAAGCUCAUGUAACCGCUGACCUCUGACAUCAUGGCUUACAGUAGUUAGGUUGAGCAAUUCCAGUCCCCAAGGGCCACAGAGUCUGAUGGGAGUCCCUCUACCUCUGAUUUGAUCAUAUAAAUACACCAUGGCUUCGACUAAUUACUAUUCAACAGUUGUUCAUCCACAGCAUCAAAUCACUGAAUAAAGGCUGCGAACCUGCUGGAUUAGAAUCCAAGAUCUUGAGCUUUUGGAAAGAAGAAAAGUCUGGGAUUCCAUGAGAUCGUAACACGAGAUUCAAAAUAUGACAGGAGGAUGAAGCUCCAUCCACCGAUGGUAGAGAAUGUAAAAAAUGUUGGCAUGGGAGAAUCAAUAGCAUGCCCUGCUUCUGUUUAGCUGACCUCCCCCUAGUGGUAGAAUCACCUAACUGCACCACAUUUCAUUCUGGCCAAUGGUUUAUUUUUAAGUAUGCCAUUCAGCAGACACUUUUAUCCAAAGUGACUAACAGUCAUGCGUGCAUACAUUUUACGUAUGGGUUUAUAUGAGCCAUAGAGAACAAGCUCUUUAAAGCUUUUACACUCACAGUCAGACUAWUCAAAGCUAUUAAGACCAAAGCACAGAACACGAAUGAUGCCKCUGACAAAUGAAAUGGAACUGAAAAUGAUUAAAGCUGCAAUAUGUUGGGUGACCCUACACAAUUCACAUAGAAAUGUGCGUUAUAGAUCUGUCAUUCUGAUUGAAAGCUAAUCUAAUCUGUUGUAUGUGUGCUAUUUCUAUGCUUCCCAUUUUUUUGUCUUUUACUUUCUUUUUCAGCUACAAACGGCUGAAAAUACAYUAUUUUUGGUUAUGGAAAAUAUAUUUCACAGCGGUUUAGACAAUACAAUGAUUCUCUACACUAUACUUUCUUGUUUG